rnacentral:rRNA from 1 species
UGCAGUCGAGCGCCCCGCAAGGGGAGCGGCAGACGGGUGAGUAACGCGUGGGAAUCUACCCAUCACUACGGAACAACUCCGGGAAACUGGAGCUAAUACCGUAUACGUCCUUCGGGAGAAAGAUUUAUCGGUGAUGGAUGAGCCCGCGUUGGAUUAGCUAGUUGGUGGGGUAAUGGCCUACCAAGGCGACGAUCCAUAGCUGGUCUGAGAGGAUGAUCAGCCACACUGGGACUGAGACACGGCCCAGACUCCUACGGGAGGCAGCAGUGGGGAAUAUUGGACAAUGGGCGAAAGCCUGAUCCAGCCAUGCCGCGUGAGUGAUGAAGGCCCUAGGGUUGUAAAGCUCUUUCAACGGUGAAGAUAAUGACGGUAACCGUAGAAGAAGCCCCGGCUAACUUCGUGCCAGCAGCCGCGGUAAUA